rnacentral:lncRNA from 1 species
GGAGACCCUCGGAGGGGCCGCGCAGUGCGGGGCUCUUGCCGUAACCCCGUCGCGUAGCUUUGGGAGGCAGCGAACGGUGGUCGAGGGGGGAACCAAGGGCGAGAGGUUCUCCGCAGCGCUCCAGCCGAGUCCCUAAAUGAGGGCUUUACCCGCAAGGAGCGYGAAGGCUUGCAGGUUCUUCUGAAAACGUGGUGCCCUAAGCGCAAGGGAAACGCAAGGCUUUGUGCUCUGAGCGUGGGGUUUGCUUCUCGCUGCCUGCCCUCARCAGAUCUUCGCUUCUGCCUUUCCCUGCGUGGCAGUGCCGAGCUGGAUAACGAGCAGAGGCUUUGCAGAGCAGAGCGUGGCCUGACUAGGAGUCAAAAGUUCCUCGUAUACAAAAGGACUUGCAAAUAAGACCCUGUCUUGAGGUGCUGGGAGUCUGAGCAGAGUGCUUUGCAAGCCCAAAUGGGAAGGCACUUGCUUGUUGGAGGUCCCGAUCAGUGCUAGGGCCGGUCCCAGUGCGCUUGCUUAACUUGUACGGGGUUUGCUUUGGAUUCAGGAUUGGCUGGAACCCCUGUGGCUUUGUGGUUUGUUCCUGAUCUUUUUAGGGAGAGAGAGAUGUCAGGGGCAAUGGGGCUUUCAGCGUCCUUGGGAUGGAGAGCAGGGGAGCCAGUCUGUCUGUGCUUGUCUAAGCCUGCUCUUUCCUUAGAGACCCAGGGGGAUGAAGGGAGGAGGUUGCUGGAAGGCUCUGCCAGGCACAGCAGGCUGCUGGCUCCAUUCAUUUCUUCUCCCUUCUCCUGGCAGCGGUGUCCACGUCUGUGUUCAUCGUGGCGAUUCUGGUCCUGCUGCUGCUCUUGUAUCACCGGGACCCCAUGUGUUGCCAGUUUCUCUGCUCGUGCCGCUUCUUCCAGAGUCCUAGCCAGUAUGACUGCCCCCCUCCAUACUUCAGCAGCAGCCAGCGGCUGGUGGGACCCCAGCAUGGAGCGUCGCGACUGGAGAGCGCUGCCGAGAAUCCUGGCAUGCAGGGAGAUGAGCUAUUCUGCGUUGGAACCCCGAGCAGCUACCAACUCCCUUCCUGGGAACAGUCUCACUUGCCAAGCUAUGAGAGCGUGCGGAAGAAAGAUCGCCAGCGGGAAAUCCAUCAGAUGAUUGCCGAGAGGUUUGGGCUGUGGGCAGACCCUUCCCAGGAGAUGCCACCUCCCUACGAGCAUGCUCUAAGGCAUCCUCCAGCUUUCUCAGGAACAGUAGUAAGCUCAGAGACCUUGGACAGACAUGGCAUGCCAGACCCUUUCCAGGCCCCUGUCAGCUACCAAACUCAGAGGAACACAGCAGUGGAACAGCCAAACCUGAGACCUUCACCCAGAUUUGCAAUCAGCCGAGAAACACACAGGCAAGUCGGACCCAGCCAGUGGAGACUUCCAUCCUGCAGCACAAGGAUAAAAGCAGAGCCACCACCAAAUAUUGCUCUUUCUCCAGAAUAA